UACGGAGGAUGCAAGCGUUAUCCGGAAUGAUUGGGCGUAAAGCGUCCGCAGGUGGCGAUGUAAGUCUGCUGUUAAAGAGUCUAGCUCAACUAGAUAAGAGCAGUGGAAACUACAUAGCUAGAGUACGUUCGGGGCAGAGGGAAUUCCUGGUGUAGCGGUGAAAUGCGUAGAGAUCAGGAAGAACACCAGUGGCGAAGGCGCUCUGCUAGGCCGCAACUGACACUGAGGGACGAAAGCUAGGGGAGUGAAUGGG
rnacentral:rRNA from 1 species